UUCAUCAAAUGAUGAAAUCAGAAAAUAAAUCUUAGGACACCUUCCUACGCGACUCUUCACCGAGUUGUGGAUGAGAAAGACAUUUCUAAUCUGAUGAUGAA